AGCAGGUCAAAGAUUGUAGGGAGGGUAGGAGAAGAAAGGGAACACAUACCGAGUGCCAACUACAUGGUGGCAUUGAAGCAUGUUGUGUCAUGUGUGCAGUGAGUACUUGGCAGUUAGCUAAUGCCCUUUCUCAUGCUCCGCACAAAUAGCCUAAGGCAAGUAGAGACAACAAAAGUUGAAGCCAGCUGAUCCCAAUAACACCUACAACACUUCACAUCUCACGGGCUGCCUCCUAAGUCCCUUCCCGACACUCCGCUCCCCGUGGUCUUCUCUCCGCAGCAUUGGCGCCCUUGUGGGCCUGUCCAUAGCAGCAGUGGUUCUCCUGGCCUUCAUUGUCACCGCCUGUGUGCUGUGCUACCUGUUCAUCAACUCAAAGCCCCACACGAAGCUGGACCCAGGCUUAAGCUUACAGCCUGCAGAUGAGAAAAUCAAGGCUAAAACAGAUUAGAUGACUUAUGCAAAGUGUUGCAGCUAAUAACUGACUCCAGGGAGGAGGGGCCUCCAGGCUGCCAAGGUGGCAAUGCCGGCAAUUGGAUGGAGGUGCCAGGAACGAGCACUCUUGAGCAGAAUCACCCCUUCCUGAGCCCACGGCUGGACGGCACCGAGGAGCAGCCUGUGCACCCCAGACGCCUGCUCCAGCACUGCUUCAUG